rnacentral:rRNA from 1 species
AGUGAACGCUGGCGGUAGGCCUAACACAUGCAAGUCGAACGGCAGCACAGAGGAGCUUGCUCCUUGGGUGGCGAGUGGCGGACGGGUGAGGAAUACAUCGGAAUCUACUCUGUCGUGGGGGAUAACGUAGGGAAACUUACGCUAAUACCGCAUACGACCUACGGGUGAAAGCAGGGGACCUUCUGGCCUUGCGCGAUUGAAUGAGCCGAUGUCGGAUUAGCUAGUUGGCGGGGUAAAGGCCCACCAAGGCGACGAUCCGUAGCUGGUCUGAGAGGAUGAUCAGCCACACCGGAACUGAGACACGGUCCAGACUCCUACGGGAGGCAGCAGUGGGGAAUAUUGGACAAUGGGCGCAAGCCUGAUCCAGCCAUACCGCGUGGGUGAAGAAGGCCUUCGGGUUGUAAAGCCCUUUUGUUGGGAAAGAAAUCCAGCUGGCUAAUACCCGGUUGGGAUGACGGUACCCAAAGAAUAAGCACCGGCUAACUUCGUGCCAGCCGCCGCGGUAA